GACGAACGCUGGCGGCGUGCUUAACACAUGCAAGUCGAACGGAAAGUCCCUGCUUUUGUGGGGUGCUCGAGUUGCGAACGGGUGAGUAACACGUGAGUAACCUGCCCUUGACUUUGGGAUAACUUCAUGAAACUUGGGCUAAUACCGGAUAGGAGCUCCUGCUUCAUGGUGGGGGUUGGAAAGUUUCGGCGGUUGGGGGUGGACUCGCGUCUUAUCAGCUUGUUGGGUGGGUAGUGUCUUACCAAGACUUGGACGGGUAGCCGGCCUGGGAGGGUGACCGGCCAAAUUGGGACUGAGAUAAGGCACAGACUAGUACGGGAGGCAGCAGUGGAGAAUAUUGCACAAUGGGAGGAAGCAUGAUGCAGCAACGCAGCGUGCGGGAUGACGGCCUUCGGGUUGUAAACCGCUUUCGCCUGUGACGAAGCGUGAGUGACGGUAAUGGGUAAAGAAGCACCGGCUAACUACGUG
rnacentral:rRNA from 1 species